UCGGGUGUGGUGUACGGGGAACCACUGCUUUCUUUUAGACGAGUCUGAAUCCCGUUUAAAUUUGAAGCAGAUGGACGGGGUUCAAUUCCCCGCACCCGAA